UGAAAACCCCCAUAGGUGUGCAUUUAGAAUUAAUUCCAUACGGGUGGAGGACACAUGCGUGUCCCUGUAUUGCUUAGGUCGUGUGACCCACACAGGCCAUCAACACGACCAUUUGAAAUGGCCACACGGGCGUGUUGCCCUUCUACACGGGCGUGUGCCAUGUUUCAAAGUCAAUUUUUUUAUAGAUGGUUUAAGGAUCCGGGUUGAUCCUGAAUAGUUUUCAAUGGUCGAUUUGAGGCUCGUAGGCC
rnacentral:lncRNA from 1 species